GCGCCCUUAGCUCAGCUGGAUAGAGCGUCUGACUACGGAUCAGAAGGCCAGGGGUUCGAAUCCCUUAGGGCGCACCA
rnacentral:tRNA from 8 species